rnacentral:misc_RNA from 1 species
GCAAACUUGGUCAUUUAGAGGAAGUAAAAGUCGUAACAAGGUUUCCGUAGGUGAACCUGCGGAAGGAUCAUUAACGAGUUAGGGUCUCAGGCCCGACCUCCCAACCCUAUGUUUACUGAACUACUGUUGCUUCGGCGGGCCCGUCUCACGACCGCCGGAGGGUGUCUAACGCCCUCUGGCCCGUUGCCCGCCGACGGCCGACACCUAAAUUCUUGAAAUUCAUGAUAUUCUGAGUCUCUAUGAAAUAAAGCAAAAAACUUUCAACAACGGAUCUCUUGGUUCUGGCAUCGAUGAAGAACGCAGC